rnacentral:rRNA from 1 species
CUACAGGCUUAACACAUGCAAGUCGAGGGGCAGCAUGGUCUUAGCUUGCUAAGGCCGAUGGCGACCGGCGCACGGGUGAGUAACACGUAUCCAACCUGCCGUCUACUCUUGGACAGCCUUCUGAAAGGAAGAUUAAUACAAGAUGGCAUCAUGAGUCCGCAUGUUCACAUGAUUAAAGGUAUUCCGGUAGACGAUGGGGAUGCGUUCCAUUAGAUAGUAGGCGGGGUAACGGCCCACCUAGUCUUCGAUGGAUAGGGGUUCUGAGAGGAAGGUCCCCCACAUUGGAACUGAGACACGGUCCAAACUCCUACGGGAGGCAGCAGUGAGGAAUAUUGGUCAAUGGGCGAGAGCCUGAACCAGCCAAGUAGCGUGAAGGAUGACUGCCCUAUGGGUUGUAAACUUCUUUUAUAAAGGAAUAAAGUCGGGUAUGGAUACCCGUUUGCAUGUACUUUAUGAAUAAGGAUCGGCUAACUCCGUGCCAGCAGCCGCGGUAAUACGGAGGAUCCGAGCGUUAUCCGGAUUUAUUGGGUUUAAAGGGAGCGUAGAUGGAUGUUUAAGUCAGUUGUGAAAGUUUGCGGCUCAACCGUAAAAUUGCAGUUGAUACUGGAUAUCUUGAGUGCAGUUGAGGCAGGCGGAAUUCGUGGUGUAGCGGUGAAAUGCUUAGAUAUCACGAAGAACUCCGAUUGCGAAGGCAGCCUGCUAAGCUGCAACUGACAUUGAGGCUCGAAAGUGUGGGUAUCAAACAGGAUUAGAUACCCUGGUAGUCCACACGGUAAACGAUGAAUACUCGCUGUUUGCGAUAUACUGCAAGCGGCCAAGCGGAAGCGUUAAGUAUUCCACCUGGGGAGUACGCCGGCAACGGUGAAACUCAAAGGAAUUGACGGGGGCCCGCACAAGCGGAGGAACAUGUGGUUUAAUUCGAUGAUACGCGAGGAACCUUACCCGGGCUUAAAUUGCAGAUGAAUUACGGUGAAAGCCGUAAGCCGCAAGGCAUCUGUGAAGGUGCUGCAUGGUUGUCGUCAGCUCGUGCCGUGAGGUGUCGGCUUAAGUGCCAUAACGAGCGCAACCCUUGUUGUCAGUUACUAACAGGUUCCGCUGAGGACUCUGACAAGACUGCCAUCGUAAGAUGUGAGGAAGGUGGGGAUGACGUCAAAUCAGCACGGCCCUUACGUCCGGGGCUACACACGUGUUACAAUGGGGGGUACAGAGGGUCGCUACCACGCGAGUGGAUGCCAAUCCCCAAAACCUCUCUCAGUUCGGACUGGAGUCUGCAACCCGACUCCACGAAGCUGGAUUCGCUAGUAAUCGCGCAUCAGCCACGGCGCGGUGAAUACGUUCCCGGGCCUUGUACACACCGCCCGUCAAGCCAUGGGAGCCGGGGGUACCUGAAGUGCGUAACCGCGAGGAGCGCCCUAGGGUAAAACUGGUGACUGGGGCUAAGUCGUA